rnacentral:rRNA from 1 species
GGAUCGAAAGACCUUAUGCUUUUGGAGCGGCCGAUGUCUGAUUAGCUAGUUGGUAAGGUAAAGGCUUACCAAGGCGACGAUCAGUAGUUGGUCUGAGAGGACGACCAGCCACACUGGGACUGAGACACGGCCCAGACUCCUACGGGAGGCAGCAGUGGGGAAUUUUGGACAAUGGGCGCAAGCCUGAUCCAGCAAUGCCGCGUGAGUGAAGAAGGCCUUCGGGUCGUAAAGCUCUUUCAGUCGAGAAGAAAAGAUUGUGACUAUUAAUCAUAAUUUAUGACGGUAUCGACAGAAGAAGCACCGGCUAACUACGUGCCAGCAGCCGCGGUAAUACGUAGGGUGCGAGCGUUAAUCGGAAUUACUGGGCGUAAAGGGUGCGCAGGCGGUUCUGCAAGUCAGAUGUGAAAUCCCCGGGCUUAACCUGGGAACUGCGUUUGAA